rnacentral:rRNA from 1 species
CCUACGGGGUGCAGCAGUGGGGAAUAUUGCGCAAUGGGCGAAAGCCUGACGCAGCGACGCCGCGUGAGGGAUGAAGGUCUUCGGAUCGUAAACCUCUGUCAGCAGGGAAGAACGGUCACUGUGCUAAUCAGCAGUGAAUUGACGGUACCUGCAAAGGAAGCACCGGCUAACUCCGUGCCAGCAGCCGCGGUAAUACGGAGGGUGCGAGCGUUCAUCGGAAUUACUGGGCGUAAAGCGCUCGUAGGCGGUAUGUCAAGUCAAGGGUGAAAUCCCCGGGCUCCAGGUGGGAACUGCCUUUGAAACUGGCAAACUGGAGUGUGUGAGAAGAUAGUGGAAUUCCAGGUGGAGGAGUGAAAUCCGUAGAUAUCUGGAGGAAAAUCAGUGGCGAAGGGGACAAUCUGGCACAUAACUGACGCUGAGGAGCGAAAGCGGGGGUAGAAAACAGGAUUAGAGACCCGUGGAGUC